rnacentral:rRNA from 1 species
CCUACGGGGGGCUGCAGUGGGGAAUAUUGCACAAUGGGCGCAAGCCUGAUGCAGCCAUGCCGCGUGUGUGAAGAAGGCCUUCGGGUUGUAAAGCACUUUCAGCGGGGAGGAAGGCGGUGAGGUUAAUAACCUCAUCGAUUGACGUUACCCGCAGAAGAAGCACCGGCUAACUCCGUGCCAGCAGCCGCGGUAAUACGGAGGGUGCAAGCGUUAAUCGGAAUUACUGGGCGUAAAGCGCACGCAGGCGGUCUGUCAAGUCGGAUGUGAAAUCCCCGGGCUCAACCUGGGAACUGCAUUCGAAACUGGCAGGCUAGAGUCUUGUAGAGGGGGGUAGAAUUCCAGGUGUAGUGGUGAAAUGCGUAGAGAUCUGGAGGAAUACCGGUGGCGAAGGCGGCCCCCUGGACAAAGACUGACGCUCAGGUGCGAAAGCGUGGGGAGCAAACAGGAUUAGAUACCCGGGUAGUC